rnacentral:rRNA from 1 species
AAAAAGAAGUCCAAGAAAAGAAAGCGAGAUACAAUAGUGCAGACAGGGUGCAGAGCAAGGAUGGUUGUGAAGCUAAAGGAUGGUCGGUGGGAGGUGGUUUUCUUUAUUGUUGAACACAAUCAUGCAUUGGUUGACAAGCCAUCACUAACUAAGUACCUUCGAACACACCAAGGGAUCCCUCCAGAAGAGAAAUUGUUCCUGAAAAAUCUUCAUAAUUGUAAUUUGACCACUGGUGUGUGCACUUUUCAAAAAUACAUUUUGCAUUACUACAUUAGCAUUCCAAAAAAAAUUGCAUUUACAUUUCAUGCAAAAAAACACUCUACAUUUACUACACUUGUUUUAGUGCUCCAACAUAGUCACCUUGACAACUUUGUAGGCAAACUGUAA